rnacentral:rRNA from 1 species
AUUGAACGCUGGCGGCAGGCCUAACACAUGCAAGUCGAACGGUAACAGGGAUCAGCUUGCUGAUUCGCUGACGAGUGGCGGACGGGUGAGUAAUGUCUGGGAAACUGCCUGAUGGAGGGGGAUAACUACUGGAAACGGUAGCUAAUACCGCAUAACGUCGCAAGACCAAAGAGGGGGACCUUCGGGCCUCUUGCCAUCGGAUGUGCCCAGAUGGGAUUAGCUAGUAGGUGGGGUAACGGCUCACCUAGGCGACGAUCCCUAGCUGGUCUGAGAGGAUGACCAGCCACACUGGAACUGAGACACGGUCCAGACUCCUACGGGAGGCAGCAGUGGGGAAUAUUGCACAAUGGGCGCAAGCCUGAUGCAGCCAUGCCGCGUGUAUGAAGAAGGCCUUCGGGUUGUAAAGUAAUUUCAGCGGGGAGGAAGGGAGUAAAGUUAAUACCUUUGCUCAUUGACGUUACCCGCAGAAGAAGCACCGGCUAACUCCGU